AGGAGUCUGCUGAGUCAGCAAUAGAUUUCCUCACUCAGGUACUAUCCCAUGAGGACCAGAUGACAUGUUACAUGCAAAAGCCCAGAACAGAAAAUUUAAGAUUUUAAAACAAUGAUAUCAAGCUAUGGAAAGAAAUGGCAUUAAAUAUGGAUGAAUGACAAAAAAUGUAACCUGAAACCACUCUCCAGAUAUGUCAUCUACUUACUAGCACAUCUGUUUUCCUUUAGGUUCAUGGGUAAAAACAGAGACUUUGUCUGAAGAAAAAUUCAUGGAAUGAGGCUGAUACUGAAACCUUACAGAAUCACAGUAGCAAAAUAUGAAAGAAUUUAGUGAACUAGAUGAUUACAAAAUAAAUCAGUCUUCUUCCUC